AUCAGGAACAGCUUAUAGGGGAUCUAUCGCUUCUCAUGCCCAGAAUAUAUUUUUCUGGUGGGAAACAUCUUCCCUAUCCCACUGCUUCAUGCACCUAAUCUAGUUCUUUUGGUCGGAUAGCAAAAGUGCUUAAGAGAAUAGACCUUUUUAAAGUAUGAAUAACAAAUUGCAGUGUUCAGUUUGAAGGAUACAUUUGUCUGGUGUAAGAAAAGAGUAUAAAUUAUGUGUAAAUUAUCUGAC